UAUUAAUUAGCUCAGUUGGUAGAGCACCUGACUUUUAAUCAGGGUGUCGUAGGUUUCGUCCUACAUGGCUCA
rnacentral:tRNA from 1 species